rnacentral:rRNA from 1 species
UGGGGAAUAUUGCACAAUGGGCGCAAGCCUGAUGCAGCAACGCCGCGUGAACGAUGAAGGUCUGCGGAUCGUAAAGUUCUGUUGCAGGGGAAGAUAAUGACGGUACCCUGUGAGGAAGCCCCGGCUAACUACGUGCCAGCAGCCGCGGUAAUACGUAGGGGGCUAGCGUUAUCCGGAUUUACUGGGCGUAAAGGGUGCGUAGGUGGUCUUUCAAGUCGGUGGUUAAAGGCUACGGCUCAACCGUAGUAAGCCGCCGAAACUGGAGGACUUGAGUGCAGGAGAGGAAAGUGGAAUUCCCAGUGUAGCGGUGAAAUGCGUAGAUAUUGGGAGGAACACCAGUAGCGAAGGCGGCUUUCUGGACUGCAACUGACACUGAGGCACGAAAGCGUGGGUAGCAAACAGG